rnacentral:rRNA from 1 species
UAUUAACGCUGGCGGCGUGCUUAACACAUGCAAGUCGAACGGAAAGGCUCCUGCUUGCAGGGGUACUCGAGUGGCGAACGGGUGAGUAACACGUGGGUGAUCUGCCCUGCACUUCGGGAUAAGCCUGGGAAACUGGGUCUAAUACCGGAUAGGACGAUGGUUUGGAUGCCAUUGUGGAAAGUUUUUUCGGUGUGGGAUGAGCUCGCGGCCUAUCAGCUUGUUGGUGGGGUAAUGGCCUACCAAGGCGUCGACGGGUAGCCGGCCUGAGAGGGUGUACGGCCACAUUGGGACUGAGAUACGGCCCAGACUCCUACGGGAGGCAGCAGUGGGGAAUAUUGCACAAUGGGCGCAAGCCUGAUGCAGCGACGCCGCGUGGGGGAUGACGGCCUUCGGGUUGUAAACUCCUUUCGCUAGGGACGAAGCACAAGUGACGGUACCUGGAGAAGAAGCACCGGCUAACUACGUG